UACGUAGGGUGCGAGCGUAAUCGGAAUUACUGGGCGUAAAGCGUGCGCAGGCGGUGAUGUAAGACAGGUGUGAAAUCCCCGGGCUUAACCUGGGAACUGCAUUUGUGACUGCAUCGCUUGAGUGCGGCAGAGGGGGAUGGAAUUCCGCGUGUAGCAGUGAAAUGCGUAGAUAUGCGGAGGAACACCGAUGGCGAAGGCAAUCCCCUGGGCCUGCACUGACGCUCAUGCACGAAAGCGUGGGGAGCAAACAGG
rnacentral:rRNA from 1 species